AAGUAACCAUGACUUCCUGUGUCCACAACAGCUGCAGGAUCCUGGCCGUGAGCUCUCUUUGAUCCCCAGGGAGCAGCUACAAGGCUGCAGCAGACAGAAACUCUCAGAUGGCAGGAAGUAAAUGGAGUUGAAGGUUUUUGUUUUGUUUUGAUUUUUUUUUUUUUUAAGACAAAGUCUACUCACAUGACCCAGACUAGCCUGAAGUUUUGGAGUUCUCCAAGUAGCCUAAGACUGACCUCGAACUCUUAACUACCCUCAUGCCUUAGCCUGUCAGGUGCUAGGAUUAUAGGCAUAUGCCACCACACCUAGUGCCAAUGAGCUUUGAAGACAAGAUGGUACUGAGGGAAGCAAAGCCUUCAACCUCAUUUGAAUCAAAACUGCAUCCGGCUGUGUCCUGACUCACCCUCUACUCCAGAAUGCUCUGUGGCUACAGAUCUGGGGGCACAGUUCCAGGUGCCUGGAGGCUCCUCAGGGCCCAUGAUUCUGAGCCAUACCAACUGCAGAGAAGCUGGCACAAGAGCCUAGAACAUGGCUGGAAGUUCACUUCUGUGGGAGGCAGCAGAGUCCAGAUGCGGCUGAGGUGAGGUCACAUGGAGUCAGAUCAGGACUACAAACUAUAGAAGACUGUGUGGAGACACAAUGCAGACAUGGUCACAGAAAAGAAGCCUGUGAUAGAAGAAGCUGAGACUAAGUCCUGCAGCUCUGAGGCAAGGAGCCACAGAGAUUGUCUGUCAAGCCAGAGGCUAGGGAGAGCGCUGGGGGAGCGGUCCUGGGAGCCUGCCAAGAUGGACCUGUCUCCCAACAAUUUAGACUUCUGUCUUUUAGGUCUGUGAAAGAAUGGAUUUCUGAGAGAAUGAAUAAAGAAGUAAUCAGAGCUCUUGCAGGAGGGGAGUUUUCCCCACCAUCAACUCAAGAGACAAGGCAGCAGCCACCUUGCCUCAGACCAGCUCAACUCAACAUGACCCAGUAUGCCAGAGCCACCACCUGCCACCAAGACACUGUCCUCUGCCAUGGAGGGUGGAUGUUCUUUUACAACCUAAGAGUACUUUCCAGGACUGAACCAUAUCCUCCAAAGCAAGUGAUCAAAGCUAUUUACCUGACUUUGAGAUACACUGACAGUAGUCCAUGCACUUCUGGAGUCCCUGCUUCUGGACAUCUCUGUUAAAGAUAAGUAAACUUCAUCCAGCCAUAAAAAUCACCAAGGGAACACAGACUGAGGACACUGUAGACAAUGUUAGACCCAUUCUCUCAUAGCAAGUACCAAUGCUAUGAAAAAUAAGGAUUUGACACACUGCCAGAGAAGCUAGUAAACAAGGAGGACCCUAAGAGAGACAUACAUGGUCCCCUGGAGAAGGGGAAAGGGACUAGAUCUCCUGAGCAAAUUGGGAGCAUCCGGGGAGGGGAGAGAGAUCUAGGAGAAUGAGAAGGGGAGAAGAGAAGGGGUGAGGAAGACAUGAUGGGACAGGGAGGUUGAGUUGGGGGAAGAACAGAAAAGAGCAAGAUAAGAGAUAAUAUAAUAGAGGGAGACAUUAUAGGUUUAAAGAGAAAUCAGGCAUCAGGGAAAUGUCUGGAGAUCUACAAAGAUGACACCAACUAACAAUCUAAGCAACAGAGGAGAGGCUACCUUAAAUGCCCUCUCCUGAUAAUGAGAUCAAUGGCUAAUUCAUAUGCCAUCGUAUAGCCUUCAUCCAGCAACUGGUGGAAGUAGAAGCAGACACCCACAGCUAAACCUUGAACUGAACUGAAAUCCAGUUGCACAGAAGGAGGACUGAUCAGCAAAGGGGUCCAGACCAGGCUGGUGAAACCCACAAAAACAGGAGAAAAACGCAGUUUUCACUCCUACCUCCUUUGUAGAGACUGUUAAUAACCUCCUUGAAGAGAAGAAGGGGAAAAAUAAGUCAUAAGGCAGUUACAUCAGUCGGCCAAGGGUUACACAGCUGCUGAGUGAGCAGAGGAGUGAGAUCCAAACCAGCUCCAAAUAAUGGAAGACAGCACAAUGGCCACCACUGGGGACAAUGAAAGGACGUCUUUCCCUACAGCUGCAUAUCAAGGAACUGUUUAAGAGGCAGAGGCAGGGUUAUCAAUAACAUACUGUUAAGUCAAAACAGCUGAGCUCCACUGGGUCUGUGCUCUUUGAAUUUCUCUGUGCUGAGUCAUGUUUAAUUUCCAUAACAGUGUGUGCUCAAGUAAAUGCACACACAGUUUUGCAUUAAUAGAGACGUCAAGGACAAAGUCUCUUAAACUUUAUAGUGUAUAAGAACCUCUUGCUAGAAGUGGUAAAAUAAUAAUGAUAAAUAAUAAUAAGAUAAAGUAAUUAAAUGAGUAUCUAAUGUCAAGUAUCCCUGAGCACCUAGAAUCUUGAAAUACCCACAGACCAUGCUACUUUAAGUAGUUUUACCUUAGAAAGCAGGAAUGUUACCAUGACAACAUUUUACAUUUUUAAAAAUCAUUCCUAUUGUUUAGAGAAGCAAGUUAGAAGGUGAGUAAGUACCUUGAGGCUAAGUCAUGCAGGAAAAUAUCCCCUCUUGGAUGUCAGACACACAUGAGGUGAGGCCCCAGGCUAAGCUCACUUGUGGGCUAUGGUGUCUGGGAAGAUGUGAGUGCCAGGCAGAGAGGCUUUGAUGGGCAAGUCAGGGUGUGGCAUCCUCACCACAAGACAGUGGUGGCAACAAGACAGUGGACCUGCAGUAACUAGCUGGCUCCUAUGACAGCAGGGGAGCUAGACACCCUUGCUCCUUGUGUUUGUGAGCAACUUGCUUUCUUCACUAUAUGUGCAUGUCUUUACCCAUUCUGCUUCCCAGACAGCUCUAAUUUUAUCAGAUAUUCCUCUCAGCCUUAAGCACUCUGUUAUAACUCUUCCACUCUCUGGCUGCUCCUCACACUCCCAAUCUGUCAUGGUUCAGACGCUCUGCAACUUCCCUUCCCUCUACCUGGAAUGCUUUCUCUCAUAUACCUAUAUGACUUUCCAGUUCAACUGGAAUUCCUUGCACGAUGCAGCCGCUAGGGUCAAACAUGGCAGCCCUCAACAUUUUCCUUCUCAGCUUCGCUUUCAUCUCAGUUAUAACUCUACCUAGCAUAUUGAAUGUCUAACUUAUUUGGGCAUAGUGUUUGCUCUGUUCAACUGUAAGCACCUUCAGUUCUGGGAUCUACUUGUUUUUACAGCUGUAUUUUCAGUGUCCAGAGGAACUCCUGGAACUUAGCAGACAUGCAAAUCUCUAUUUACUGUACAUGAACUGGGGUCAUUCUACUUAGGUUUCUGUGAGUCCAGUCUCUGCAUUGCAUUGUGUAGUCAUGCAUGGAGUCUCAAUGUGGUACAUGAAGAAAGAACUUUUGCCAGUAAAUGGAACCACCCUAGCUGUUCAUCAAUAGAUGAAUCGAUGCAGAAAAUGUGGUACAUGUACACAAUGGAAUUUUAUUCAGCUAUAAAGAAAAAUGAAAGUGUGAUGUUUGUCAGAAGAUAGAUGAAACUAGCAAAGUAAGCCAGACCAAGAAAGGCAAAUACUUUGUUUUAUCUCAUAUAGGGAAAUUGUGUGUGUGUGUGUGUGUGUGUGUGUGUGUGUGUGUGUGUGUGUGUUUAGGGUGUGUGUUGGGGGCAAGUGAGUGUUUAGGUGUAUGUCUGUGUAAUCAGGGUGUAUGUGUGGAGGAUAUGGGUGUUUAGGUGUGCAUGUGUGUUUAGCUCUGUGGGGAGUGGGGGGUAUUUAGGAGUGUAUGUGUAUGUUCAAGGGUGUAUGUGUGUGUGUGUGUGUUUAGG
ensembl:lncRNA